CGCCAAGAUUACUUUUCACACACGCCUUCAUUUUCCUCUCCUUUACAGUUUCAUCUUUGACCCUUCUGGAAUUUAUGGCGGAAUAAGGCAUGAGGUCCCUGGAAUGAUGUGACCUUCGAGAGGCGCUGGAAAAACAAAUGCAGUGCUGCUCCUGUGAGCCCAGAGAGGCAUUGCACGCCAGACCACUGCAAGAGAAUGUCUGAAGAAGACGUGGAGGUGGUCAGCCUCAGGAGAGCUGAAGGGGGCGCUAGGACACCAGGGGAGCCCCCCAGAGAACUGGAGGUGAGCAUCGCACGUGAAGCUGUGCACGAGAAGGUGAGGCAGCACACAGGCCGCGCUGAACUAGGAAUUACACACUGUGUAAGAAACAAACAAGUCACAGGGAUCUGGGAAAGAAAACCAAAGGACAGACGGGGCCUAAAGGGGAAAUGGGGGUGUGGGAGCAGCAUCUGGGCCAGUUUCCUUUCCCAACAAAGAAAACUAGGUCCCCAGAGGAAGGUCAAGUUUUCCUCCUUGUGUACCAAGAAAGUGGACAGACCCUCCUGAACGUGAAGGGCACCAGCCUGGGUGACAUCAGGAAGGAACCAUGUGCUCCAGCUCACAGACAGUAGAGCGCAUGGGCCCCAGGCCCGGGGGGCGGGAGGUGGGGGCAGCUCUUAACUCCAUUCCAAGAACUGCAGCUCACCUAGGCUGCUCCCUCGCACUCCAAAAAAUUAGGAAAGGGGGGG